rnacentral:rRNA from 1 species
CUACGGAAGGCAGCAGUGGGGAAUCUUGCGCAAUGGGCGAAAGCCUGACGCAGCGACGCCGCGUGCGGGAAGAAGGCCUUCGGGUUGUAAACCGCUUUCAGGAGGGACGAAGCCACUCGGGUUAAUAGCCCAGAGGGUGACGGUACCUCCAGAAGAAGCCCCGGCUAACUACGUGCCAGCAGCCGCGGUGAUACGUAGGGGGCUAGCGUUGUCCGGAUUUAUUGGGCGUAAAGAGCGUGUAGGCGGCCAGGUAGGUCUGCUGUGAAAACUCGAGGCUCAACCUCGAGAUGUCGGCAGAAACCAUCUGGCUAGAGUCCGGAAGAGGAGAGCGGAAUUCCUGGUGUAGCGGUGAAAUGCGCAGAUAUCAGGAAGAACACCCGUGGCGAAGGCGGCUCUCUGGGACGGUACUGACGCUGAGACGCGAAAGCGUGGGGAGCGAACAGGAUUAGAUACCCCUGUAGUCCA